ensembl:lncRNA
GAGGCUACAGACAUUCUCUUCAGUGUGGAGGCUACAGGCAUUCUCUUCAGUGUGGAGGCUACAGGCAUUCUCUUCAGUGUGGAGGAUACAGACAUUAUCUUCAGUGUGGAGGCUACAGGCAUUCUCUUCAGUGUGGAGGCUACAGACAUUCUCUUCAGUGUGGAGGCUACAGACAUUCUCUUCAGUGUGGAGGCUACAGGCAUUCUCUUCAGUGUGGAGGCUACAGACAUUCUCUUCAGUGUGGAGGCUUCAGGCGUUUUCUUCAGUGUGGGGUCUAUAGGUGUUUCCAUUUACCUAACAUUGUGACUCAGGGGGUGGAAGGCAAGCUAUAUGUGGCAUGAAGUCUCCCAAAUAUGUAUACAAUAGUUGUAUGAAAGUGGCAAAGCAGGGUAGCUUGUCCUCUAACUGUGGUGUUGGUUCAAGGCCCUGGAAGGAAAAAAGUAUUUCUAAAUAACCUAACUAGAAUGCUUUGUAAAAUGUGAAAAUGUCUGCAAAUACAAAUGUUAUUUUCUUCUGUAAUACAAUUUUUACAGAAAUUGUGUGCGAAGCAUUGCGUUGCAUCAUGUCACCAAAAUUGACUGAUAGUCCAUAAUUUCUGGUUUUGUAUAUGUAACCUCAACCCUAUGUGUUUUUCUCCCCUGCUUUCUAUCUCCCUAGGAAUGUCACCUGAGAGGCAAAGUGAGGUGGAUCCUGUUCCAUGACAAAGACAGCAGAUGAGCCUAGUUCACCUGUUCCUCUUGGACGGCCACAGGGAUGGAUGCUGUGAGGAACCUGGCUCUUGGGCUCCACCUUGAUAUGAUUCUCUAAGGGAGAAUAUGACUGCAGCAGCACUUCACUCAGUGCUCUGACAAGGACCUAAGUGUAGAAGCUAUGGCCUGCACCAACCUCACUCCUGCAGCAAAUGGUGCAUCCUCUGAUCCCCUAUAGUAAACAGAGCUUCAGCGUUGGGAAACAAGAGGAGCAAACAAGGCUGAACUCUAGAGCUUAAGGGGGGAUCGUUGUUGGAUCAGCAGUGAUUACGAAUUAAGUGAUGUUGUCCGUAAGCACAUUAGGUUAUGAUUAGUGAGGGCCGUUGAGAGCAGAGUGCUACACCUCUGAGGACUGUGGUCGACCGUCAUGCUAGUGAACUCUCCAGCUCCACGGAUCCUUACCCGUUCCAGUCGGGUUAAUAUGAUAUGUGAUGCUACAGUUGGGACAUUGAUAGAAGCCUCUCACUAUGACAAGUACCUCUGAUAAGAUUGUUUUGAGGACACACACACACAAAAUAUUUAGCUAUUUUGCAAACUACCAAUAUCCAGAGGCACAUUGUGAUUCCUCAAGUGAGUUGUUUUCUCAUUGCUAAAGUAGAUGAAUGCAUUAAUUGUAUUUUGCUACAGUGUAUAAAGAUAUUCAUAUUGAAUACUGAAACAAUUUAUAUGUUAAACAUAUGUAUAUGUGUUUUAUACACCUGUGAUAAUGAUACACCACCAAAUAUUAUGGAAGCCAUAAACUAUGGAAAAAACAGAUUGAAAUUAAAUUUGUUGUACAGAUUGUGAAAUUGUUUAUUAAAUGCUUUAAUAUGAGAGUUGAUGGUAUUUCUCUAGUUUGUGUCUUUUGAACUGAGCAAUGUAAAUGUGAUGCAUGUUCAAAUUAGAAAUGCAAAUAAUAAGAUUACAUACUGUGAAAGAGAGUGAUUCAUUGCCAGUGGCAAAUAGACAGUCUGUGUUCCUUGUUGUAUGGAAAAC